CGUGUAGGCGGUUGGUUAAGUCGGAUGUGAAAGCCUGGGGCUCAGCCCCAGAAGUGCAUCCGAAACUAUCCAGCUAGAGCGCGAUAGAGGAGGGUGGAAUUCCUGGUGUAGCGGUGAAAUGCGUAGAUAUCAGGAGGAACACCGGCGGCGAAGGCGGCCCUCUGGAUCGUUGCUGACGCUGAGACGCGAAAAGCGUGGGGAGCAAACAGGAUUAGAUACCCUGGUAGUCCACGCCUUAAACGAUGGGUACUAGGUGUUCGGGGUGUUGACCCCCUGAGUGCCGCAGUUAACGCAUUAAGUACCCCGCCUGGGGACUACGGCCGCAAGGUUAAA
rnacentral:rRNA from 1 species